rnacentral:rRNA from 1 species
GCGCGCGAUACAGGGUGACAGCCCCGUACACAAAAAUGCACAUAUUGUGAGCUCGAUGAGUAGGGCGGGACACGUGGUAUCCUGUCUGAAUAUGGGGGGACCAUCCUCCAAGGCUAAAUACUCCUGACUGACCGAUAGUGAACCAGUACCGUGAGGGAAAGGCGAAAAGAACCCCGGCGAGGGGAGUGAAAAAGAACCUGAAACCGUGUACGUACAAGCAGUGGGAGCACGCUUAGGCGUGUGACUGCGUACCUUUUGUAUAAUGGGUCAGCGACUUAUAUUCUGUAGCAAGGUUAACCGAAUAGGGGAGCCGAAGGGAAACCGAGUCUUAACUGGGCGUUAAGUUGCAGGGUAUAGACCCGAAACCCGGUGAUCUAGCCAUGGGCAGGUUGAAGGUUGGGUAACACUAACUGGAGGACCGAACCGACUAAUGUUGAAAAAUUAGCGGAUGACUUGUGGCUGGGGGUGAAAGGCCAAUCAAACCGGGAGAUAGCUGGUUCUCCCCGAAAGCUAUUUAGGUAGCGCCUCGUGAAUUCAUCUCCGGGGGUAGAGCACUGUUUCGGCAAGGGGGUCAUCCCGACUUACCAACCCGAUGCAAACUGCGAAUACCGGAGAAUGUUAUCACGGGAGACACACGGCGGGUGCUAACGUCCGUCGUGAAGAGGGAAACAACCCAGACCGCCAGCUAAGGUCCCAAAGUCAUGGUUAAGUGGGAAACGAUGUGGGAAGGCCCAGACAGCCAGGAUGUUGGCUUAGAAGCAGCCAUCAUUUAAAGAAAGCGUAAUAGCUCACUGGUCGAGUCGGCCUGCGCGGAAGAUGUAACGGGGCUAAACCAUGCACCGAAGCUGCGGCAGCGACACUAUGUGUUGUUGGGUAGGGGAGCGUUCUGUAAGCCUGUGAAGGUGUGCUGUGAGGCAUGCUGGAGGUAUCAGAAGUGCGAAUGCUGACAUAAGUAACGAUAAAGCGGGUGAAAAGCCCGCUCGCCGGAAGACCAAGGGUUCCUGUCCAACGUUAAUCGGGGCAGGGUG